rnacentral:rRNA from 1 species
GACGAACGCUGGCGGCGUGCCUAAUACAUGCAAGUCGAGCGCAGGAAACUGACGGAACUCUUCGGAGGGAAGGCAGUGGAAUGAGCGGCGGACGGGUGAGUAACACGUAAGGAACCUGCCUCAAGGAUUGGGAUAACUCCGAGAAAUCGGAGCUAAUACCGGAUAGUUCAACGGACCGCAUGGUCCGCUGAUGAAAGGCGCUUCGGCGUCACCUUGAGAUGGCCUUGCGGUGCAUUAGCUAGUUGGUGGGGUAACGGCCCACCAAGGCGACGAUGCAUAGCCGACCUGAGAGGGUGAUCGGCCACACUGGGACUGCGACACGGCCCAGACUCCUACGGGAGGCAGCAGUAGGGAAUCUUCCACAAUGGACGAAAGUCUGAUGGAGCAACGCCGCGUGAGUGAUGAAGGUUUUCGGAUCGUAAAACUCUGUUGUAAGGGAAGAACACGUACGAGAGGAGAUGCUCGUACCUUGACGGUACCUUACGAGAAAGCCACGGCUAACUACGUGCCAGCCGCCGCAGUAA